GACGAACGCUGGCGGCGUGCUUAACACAUGCAAGUCGAACGGAAAGACCCUGCUUUUGUGGGGUGCUCGAGUGGCGAACGGGUGAGUAACACGUGAGUAACCUGCCCUUGACUUUGGGAUAACUUCAGGAAACUGGGGCUAAUACCGGAUAGGAGCUCCUGCUGCAUGGUGGGGGUUGGAAAGUUUCGGCGGUUGGGGAUGGACUCGCGGCUUAUCAGCUUGUUGGUGGGGUAGUGGCUUACCAAGGCUUUGACGGGUAGCCGGCCUGAGAGGGUGACCGGCCACAUUGGGACUGAGAUACGGCCCAGACUCCUACGGGAGGCAGCAGUGGGGAAUAUUGCACAAUGGGCGGAAGCCUGAUGCAGCAACGCCGCGUGCGGGAUGACGGCCUUCGGGUUGUAAACCGCUUUCGCCUGUGACGAAGCGUGAGUGACGGUAAUGGGUAAAGAAGCAGCGGCUAACUACGUG
rnacentral:rRNA from 1 species